UACGUAGGCAGCAAGCGUUGUUCGGAGUUACUGGGCGUAAAGAGUGUGUAGGCGGUGCUCUAAGUUCGGUGUGAAAUCUCCCGGCUUAACUGGGAGGGUGCGCCGGAAGCUGGAGUGCUCGAGCGCGGGAGAGGAAAGCGGAAUUCCUGGUGUAGCGGUGAAAUGCGUAGAUAUCAGGAGGAACACCUGUGGUGUAGACGGCUUUCUGGACCGUAGCUGACGCUGCGACACGAAAGCGUGGGUAGCAAACAGG
rnacentral:rRNA from 1 species